CUGUGAGUUUGGUGAACUCAAGAACCAAGUGUCAUUGACGUCUAUGAACAUGCUUCCUGACACCUGCUCAGUCCUGGUGCUCCUGUUAAUGCUCAGGAGGAGCAAUGGAGAUUCAGUGAUCCAAACAGAAGGCCUGGUUACUGUCAUAGAGGGGUCACCUGUGAUGCUGAACUGCACCUAUCAGACUACUUACUCAAGUUCCUACGUUUGGUGGUAUGUGCAAUAUUCCAACAAAGCCCCUCAGCUACUCCUGUGGAGCGCCACAGACAACAAGAGGACAGAGCACCAAGGGUUCCAUGCCACUCUCCAUAAGAGCAACAGCUCCUUCCACCUGCAGAAGUCCUCAGUGCAGCUGUGGGACUCUGCCCUGUACUACUGUGCUCUGAGUGACACAGUGAGGGAGACUGCAGGGGAAGCUGCACACAAACCAAGGGUGCAGGAGGUUUCAGUGGGUGAGUCCAUGACCAUCAUGGUGGCAAGCAUAGUAGCAGGCAGGAAAGCAUGGAACAGUAGGUGA